rnacentral:rRNA from 1 species
GACGAACGCUGGCGGCGUGCUUAACACAUGCAAGUCGAACGAUGAAGAAGAGAAACGCGAACUUCGGUUCAAAUUUCACUUCGGAUUAGUGGCAGACGGGUGAGUAACGCGUGAGCAACCUACCUCUUACAAAGGGAUAGCCUCGGGAAACCGUGAUUAAUACCAUAUGACACAUUCAUAAGGCAUCUUAAGAAUGUUAAAGCUACGGCGGUAAGAGAUGGGCUCGCGUCCCAUUAGCUAGUUGGUGAGGUAACGGCCCACCAAGGCGACGAUGGGUAACCGGCCUGAGAGGGUGAACGGUCACAUUGGAACUGAGACACGGUCCAAACUCCUACGGGAGGCAGCAGUGGGGAAUAUUGCACAAUGGAGGGAACUCUGAUGCAGCGACGCCGCGUGAGCGAUGAAGGAAUUCGUUUCGUAAAGCUCUGUUCUAUGGGGAGAAAAGGACUGUACCAUAGGAGAAAGCCCCGGCUAAAUACGUG